GGGGCGGGUAGGGCUGCAGCGCUAGGAACCGGGUCACCGGGUCUAGGUCAAAGUCGCCCUGGCAGGUAUAGGGCUCUUCAUGCCUUUUUCUGGAGUGUUAUUGAGGUGGAAUCGCUUUUUCUCCCUGGUGGCGCCAGUUGGAUCCUUCCAGAAUGAGCUCAACGGAGUCUGACGCCGAACACUGUUCUUCCGGGACCUAGGUUUAGUUCACAAAUUGGGUAUUUCUCUCCAGGGUGUUUCUCUCCAGGGCAACUAAUACACUGCGUGCCUACCAGUUGCCAGCCUGGCGAGGGCACGUUUGCGUCGUUUGGCUCAUUCACUCUUGCUCUCUGUUGUUAGUCCCCAGAAUUCAAAAGUUGGAAAGCCCGUGGGCGGCACUAUUCUUUUCCUACUAAUUUGUAGCUUUAAUAACACAUAAGGGGAAGCACAUUAGAUUGUAUUUACUUAUGGAGGGAGCUUUCUCGUUACGUUUUAUUUUAAGCUUUUCUACAACACUGCAAAAGGGGUUUGCAAAAA
rnacentral:lncRNA from 1 species